rnacentral:rRNA from 1 species
AUACAUGCAGUCGAGCGAAUGGAUUGAGAGCUUGCUUCUUCAAGAAGUUAGCGGCGGACGGGUGAGUAACACGUGGGUAACCUGCCCAUAAGAGUGGGAGAACUCCGGGAAACCGGGGCUAAUACCGGAUAACAUUUUGAACUGCAUGGUUCGAAAUUGAAAGGCGGCUUCGGCUGUCACUUAUGGAUGGACCCGCGUCGCAUUAGCUAGUUGGUGAGGUAACGGCUCACCAAGGCAACGAUGCGUAGCCGACCUGAGAGGGUGAUCGGCCACACUGGGACUGAGACACGGCCCAGACUCCUACGGGAGGCAGCAGUAGGGAAUCUUCCGCAAUGGACGAAAGUCUGACGGAGCAACGCCGCGUGAGUGAUGAAGGCUUUCGGGUCGUAAAACUCUGUUGUUAGGGAAGAACAAGUGCUAGUUGAAUAAGCUGGCACCUUGACGGUACCUAACCAGAAAGCCACGGCUAACUACGUGCCAGCAGCCGCGGUAAUACGUAGGUGGCAAGCGUUAUCCGGAAUUAUUGGGCGUAAAGCGCGCGCAGGUGGUUUCUUAAGUCUGAUGUGAAAGCCCACGGCUCAACCGUGGAGGGUCAUUGGAAACUGGGAGACUUGAGUGCAGAAGAGGAAGU